UACUAGUCCGAAACCAGCCAAACUCCGGGUAUUUGAUUCGCUGAAAGACGAAGAGCGAAAAGAGUCCGAAGAGGGUUUUUAACUUCGGAGGUAAAACCUUUCUGGGUCAAUUGAGAAGCCUUGGCUUACUGGGUCAGUCUGGAACCUUUUUCUUACUGGGAACCUUCUGCUUUCGUUGAUUUCAGCUUCCCCAAGUUACUUCACCUCAAAAGUCUCAGUCUUGGAAGCAAUUAACACCCAAAGAGAACAUCUUUCCAGCCACGGAAACCAAUCAAUCAAUCAGGUACCUCAUACGACAAUCAAGUUCUUAGUUUCAGAUUGUCGUCUGCAGCUUCUGAUUUUAAUCACUGUUGAGGUACUUCAGCCUUUUCUUUUUCUGGGUUCGUUUGAUUGCAUUGAAUUGUGCCUCAAGUUCAUUUCUUUAUGCGAGUUGUAUCGAAUUCUGUGAGUGUUUAUGGUGUAUAUUGGGGUUUUUGGAUUUUGGGUAUGCUCUGUUUGGUUGCUGAAAAGAUAGGUGGGAAUUGGAGAUUCAGAAGCUUAAAGAGUUAUUUGCUAUGUGGGCCAUGAAAAUUAAUUAUAUUAUUAGUUAGUUGAGUUGAGUUUGAGGAUUACAUAGUCUUAAGAUUCUUGUUAUAGAUUGGUUGGGGUUUCCUGUGUAAAAGGGGUUGAUGCUCUUGGAAUGGCACUUGCGUUGGUCCGGAACCUACAGAACUUUUGGCCCUUUUCAGUACUCAAACCCGAUGACCUGAAGUUAUCUAAUGAAUUAGUACGCAAACUUGGAAUACCCGAAAACACGAAGCAAUUUGUUUAUGCGGUUCGUGAGCCCGAGACGGAGUCUGUGAUUUAUGUAUUAUCUGCCCAGAGUUUAUCAGAGUGGUCAGCAUUGGAUGUUGAGUGUUUGAUUAGGGAGGUAAAACCUGAUGCGGUCAUUGCGGAGGUGGAUGUUUCAACCAUGACUGAACUUCAGUCAGAGAAGAGUGUGUCAAGAGAUGGUGUUGACAACUCAGUUCCCACUUCGUCGUUUGAGGUUCUGAAACGAUGUUUUCUGGAGAAGGUCAAUAAGGAUAAGUAUGAGAGUCUUGCAGGAGAAUUGGUUUUACAAGAGAUUUUUGGGGUUGGUUUUCAUGGACAUUUUUUGGCGGCUAGAAGGGUAGCUCAAGAAGUUGGGUCAUCAUUCUUGGUGCUUGAAUUUCCGUCUGGAAAAAAUUCUGAUGGUGAGGAUACCUCAGGUGAACUUGAUGCAGUGGCAAAGUUCCAAGGUUUAGCUAGUAGUUUGGUUCCACAGCAAUUGGGUUCAGUUGCUUCAUUGAGUUCGAAGAGGUUUCACCUAACCAAUGAUUUGCAGUCACAGAUGGUGAAGUUGUUAUGUCCAUACAUAGAUCUCUCAAUAUCAAGGCUAAGUCCAUCCAGUUCUGUUUUGGAGGUGGGGUCAAAAGAUAUUCCACCGCAAUCUAGUUACGAGGUCCCACAAUUUGCUCAAUCAUUUUACCCAUUACUUGUUGAUCUAUAUAACAUAUUUAUUGAUCUUCCAUCAAUAGGAAAGGUUCUAGCUCAUGCGCAAAAGAUGCUUUAUGAUGUGAACAAAGGUGAAGCUGUAGAUACCAAAGAUAUAUGUGAAGUGUAUGCCUUCAGGAUUGCUGUUGAGGGGCUGAGAAUUUCUUUCAACAAUGCUGGUCGACUUCCCAUUAAUAAAAUAAGGAAUCCCAACUUAAAUAAGACUGAGUUUUCUGAUCUUCCAGUUGAGGACAAAUCUCAAGCUCUCUUCGCACAGGCCCUUCGGAGCCAGACUAAGAAGUUCAAUACCAUAGUGGCAGUAGUGGAUGCUAGUUGCUUGGCAGGUCUUCGAAAACAUUGGAAUACUCCUGUUCCUCUAGAGGUAAAGGAAUUGGUUGGACAGCUCAUUACUGAUUGUGGUGGUGAGGGGGAAAUGGCUAAUCAUACUGACAAGAAGCGGUUAAUUAGUGGUAAACCUUUGGUGGCAGUUGGGGCCGGGGCAACAGCGGUUUUAGGAGUCUCUUCACUCUCUAAGGUUGUUCCUGCUUCGACCUUUAUGAAGGUUGUGACUUUCAAAGUUCCUACUUCGACCCUUGUGAAGGUUGUGACUCUCAAACUUCCUUCUUCAUUUCAAUUCUUCUUAAGCCAAGCCCAUAAGACAGUGGGACUUUCCCUUAGUAAGAUUCUUGGCACAUCGAAAGUGUUAGUUCCUGGUGUUGCAAGUUCUGGAGUCAAAACAACAACUGUGUUGAAAGCAACUGCGUCUCCUGAGAAGAUUCGAGCAGUUGCCCACAGUGUUAUUGCCAGUGCUGAGAAGACCAGCUUUUCAGCAAUGAGAACAGCAUUUUAUCAAAUAAUGAGAAAACGGCAGGUCCGUCCAAUCGGUGUCCUACCAUGGGCUACGUUUGGAUGUAGUAUUGCAACUUGUGCCGGGUUAUUUGCGUAUGGAGAUGGGAUUGAAUGUGCAGCUGAAUCUGCUCCUGCAGCUCCAUCAAUUGCCAGUUUGGGUCGUGGGAUUCAAGGUUUACAUCUGGCGUCUCAGGAAGUGAUGCAGACAGAUGGCACCAAAGUACAAAGAUCUAUCGACUCACUAAUGUACAGUUUGAAGAAAGUCAGAGUUCAAUAGAGCAAGUAGGUGGCUGGGUGCAGAGGUUGUUUAAGCAGUGGAGGCUUCAAGGUGUGUGUGUUGUUUUUUGUUGAUUAAAAUCAGAUACAAGAAAUUACAUUGCUAGGAUGGGACAGGUCACAUCCUUCAUUCCCUUUUCUAAAAGCUCUUCUGAUGACUUGGUCAACUUAGUAAUUCUUUGCGCCAUUCAAUUUUGCUGUAUGUAUAUUUAAAUGUCUUAAUUGUGUCAUUGUAAUGAAAGUCUACCUGCAUAUUUGCAGUGUUUUGUGUCGAUGAAUUAUUUAGUGCAUUCAUGUUGUAUUUUCGCUCCUUGCACUUGUUGGAGCUAAGGAGAGAAAAUGCAUCGCUCUUUUCUGAUUUUGUUGCAACACUACAGUUUCAUCCCCUGGUAUUAUUUCUUCUUCCGAAU